GGGUUGCUAACUCAACGGUAGAGUACUCGGCUUUUAACCGGCUAGUUCCGGGUUCGAAUCCCGGGCAACCCA
rnacentral:tRNA from 1 species